ACGCACGCUGGCGGCGUGCCUAAUACAUGCAAGUAGAACGCUGAAGCUUGGUGCUUGCACCGAGCGGAUGAGUUGCGAACGGGUGAGUAACGCGUAGGUAACCUGCCUGGUAGCGGGGGAUAACUAUUGGAAACGAUAGCUAAUACCGCAUAAGAGUAGAUGUUGCAUGACAUUUGCUUAAAAGGUGCAAUUGCAUCACUACCAGAUGGACCUGCGUUGUAUUAGCUAGUUGGUGAGGUAACGGCUCACCAAGGCAACGAUACAUAGCCGACCUGAGAGGGUGAUCGGCCACACUGGGACUGAGACACGGCCCAGACUCCUACGGGAGGCAGCAGUAGGGAAUCUUCGGCAAUGGACGGAAGUCUGACCGAGCAACGCCGCGUGAGUGAAGAAGGUUUUCGGAUCGUAAAGCUCUGUUGUAAGAGAAGAACGAGUGUGAGAGUGGAAAGUUCACACUGUGACGGUAUCUUACCAGAAAGGGACGGCUAACUACGUG
rnacentral:rRNA from 1 species